UUCGACUGCUUGUCAAAGAAAAAAAGAUGCAUUUAAGUUAGUUUGCCCAAAUCUAACAGGAAUUUUUAAAAGCUGGUUUGAAUUAAAGUUGCAUUGAACAAAUUUCAGAAACAAUCUCAUGAAAUAUAUUUAGGGAAGUAUGGAAUGAGGCUAUUUUCCUUUGGUAGAAAAUUAUCUUGCUUUAUCAACAAUUACAUCUUCAUCUGUACAGUCCCUUUGAAGUACAGGUGGUAAAUGCCUCAGUGUGAUAUUAAAGAACAAAGUCUGCUACUUGUAGGCAAGGUUGGAUGAACUAAGGGGAUAAAAAUGUCUGGAGGGAGGAUAGCUGGGAAUGCCUUGUUUAGUUACUAAUAACAUUGUUCUGUUAAUAGUAAUAAUAAUAACUGCCAUUUCUUCAACUUUUAACAUUCCUUGUUCUUCCAACUGAUAUCUAAGGUAGGUAUGAGGAAUCAAUUUGCAGACGAGAAAACUCAGAGAUAGAGAGGUGACUUCCUAGUAAGAAGCACAACAGUGUUAGAAACUAAGAUUCUUUGUCUUUGAUGGUUCUUCUCUUUCCACUCUACCAUGCUUCUUCCAUUUAAUGCACAAUAUUGUAUACCGUAAUAUACUUUCUAGAUUAUCUAUUUAUUCACAAUGUCUUUUAGACAAAUAUUUUCCUCUGCUGUCUCAGCAGAUUCUAGAUCUGGACUGAGCCAAUGGAGCUUCUUCAGUGAGAUAAUCAGAGUUGGCCAUAUUUGAAGGAAAACUGGUCCUUCAGCCUCAGAAGGUAGAGCUCUGCCCUGGUCUGGCCAUCAUUCUUCCUUCAGCUUAGACAGGAAUGGGGAAAUGGGAGGAUCAUAGUGAGAAAAACAGUGAGGUAUCAGUACAGCCUUUUGAGUCAGCACAAUCCCUGAGUGGCCAUGUGCUUAUGUAUUCAACUUCCCAUGAAUUCUGUGUUCUCACUUAUACAUCUGUUGCAAGUAGGCAGAUGCUUUGCUUAAAGUUACGUUUUUCACUUACAGUAGUAUUCCAUGAGUUGCCACAGUGCUUUAUCUAUCCUUCUGUAAUACAAUUUUGAAUUAAUGCACUAGCCCUCCAGCAGGCUGCCAUCCAAACAUUAGAAAGGAAAUUGGAUUAUUGUUGGAUUUUGUUUUUUAAAUGUGAGUGCCAAUGGCAUAUUGACUCUUAAAUUCUACAGAGGUACACUUUGUGAUGACUAAUUUUGCAAGAGAACCAGAUUUCAGACUUUAUUAUAUGGUACAGAAAAUUUAAUAAGAAUCAAGUUGGAAAAUGCUGGCUAGUUUUUAAGAUUAGUACAAAAAAAAUUGCUUUUUUUAAAUUCCUUCUCUUUAGCAAUUAUAUCACCAGCACAAUAGUCCUACAAGUUGCUUGAAAGAAAUAAUGAACUUUGGGUUCAGAAAUUGCAAUGCAGAAAUCUUUCAAAUCUUCAGAGGAAUAAGGGCUGCUUCUCUGUCAUUUACUUUGUGUUGACUGCAGGAAUUUCCCAAUUUAUCAAGUGCCAUUGCCCAUUAUACUUUUACUAUUUUGGUUAUGUCUGCUUUCCUUUGGAGAGGUCUUACUUUGAAGCAAAUGAUUUUUUUUUUUUUUUUUUUUUGGAGUGGGAGUGGUAAUCCGUGAGAACUGACUCAUGUCUCCCCCUUCAAGUAUUUGUGAAUUUAUACUUGUCUUCACUUGGAGCUGCAUUACUGGGAUAAAUCCAGUGUUAGAAGGAGAAGUGGAAUGAGCAAGGCUCAAUUGCUAUUUCCAGAACUUUGAGGAAGUGUGUUUCUUUGAAUUAAGUUCCCAUUUUCAAUGUAGGCUGCAAAAAACGUACAAAAUGUUGAAAUAGGAAGGCUUUUAAACUCUCACAUCAAGUCUCAGAAAACAUUUCAUUAAACUGCAUUUCAUGACCUGACAAUAACAGGUUAAGUGACAUAGCUUCAAAAAAAGCUUCUAUCAACAUUUUGACUUGACUGGAAGAUUCCUUGUUGUCCCUGAUGGCCAAUUAGGAGACAGGGAAUCAAUCAAGAACCAAAUGUAGUGACUCCUUAGAAUCUGCUGUCAUAGGAUUUGGUCCGUUUGCAUCCUUAGCACUUAGGACUCUGCUAGUGCAUCAGUCUCCCUGUGAAGCCUUCAGAAGCAUAGACACCAGCUGCAACAUUUUCAUUACCCAUUCCCAACCCAACCUUGACAAUACUUCCGUUGAUCAAAGGUGGGACUGCUGGGCUUUUUGUUUUGAAGAAAUCUGUAGAUAAUUCUGGUUGUUAGUCAGUUUGGAUUUUGAUUCCAACACUUACUAAGCUGUGUGAUUCUGGGCAUGUCUUUUAACGUCGAUGUACUCUCAUUUCUUCAUCUGGAUUACAUGUGCUAAUGCAGGUUAAUAAGUUUUUAUAUGAGAAUAUGUAACUAUAAUUCGAAGGGUAGCUUUGUUAAUUAUCUGGGUCAUGUUUCAUCAACUUUACUCCUAGUAUUUGUAGUAAUAGUUGCACUCGGGUUUACAGAAUGAGUGUGGUUAGUUAUCCUCAGAACCAGGAAAAUAAUAAACUAUAUCCCACCCACAAUGCAGUGGAGGAGAAAACUUCCCCAGGGAUUUCCCUCUUGUACAUAUGUUUAAUAUUUGAUGAUGCACAAGAUUGCACUGUUCACUAAAGCUCAGUGGUUAAGCACACAGACUAAACUCAUGGUGCCUGGGAUCUUUUCCAGAUUCUACCAAUCUCUAUUGAACUUGUACAACUUUUUUAACCAGAUAUUCUAGCUGAACAGAUACUUUGUAUGUACCACUAUAUCCUCAGAAAUAAUUAAAUGUAACCAAAUCUACUCGUCUGCUGUAAGUCAAUAUAUUGUAAUAUCAAUUACAUUAACAUCCGAUAGUUAAGACUUACUAUUUGUUACUAUGAUAGAUAUACUCCAUAGUAUUGUCUGUCAUUUAAUACAGUUUUCAGCCUCUGUUCUUCACUCUUCUCUGCCCUGCUCUGGAGUCUGCCCACUAUGGACUGGACCCCCUGGCUCCAGAGCCCUCUGCUGCCCUUUCAAUUUGGCCAGUGGAGGUGUCACUAGGAAAUCAGAGUGUCUUCUACAACCAGAGGUCCACUCACGUGGUGCCUCCCGCCACCCCCCAUUUCCAUCUCUGACAGGACUGGUAACUGUUCCCUCAUCUAAUUGCUUUAAACCCAGGGCUGGUAAUGGCUUCCGGUUGAUACUAGUUACUGGGUUACUCAUCAAGUAUUACUAGUUUCCUCUCCAUAGUCACAUCUGUGUGUGUAUUCCCUUCACUAAUAUAUUUGGGUAAAUCUUUAGAGUGUGCCAUCGGUUUCCUCCUGAGACUGAUAAACAACAAACAAUAUCCUUUAUUCAAAGCACUGACUUUACAUUCUCCUUGGCACACAAGAGAAGGAGUUGCUGCCGCAUUUUCCCUUCCUAACACUGUCUAAGGCAGUGCAGUCAUGUGAGUUGUAGCUGGAAGGAGUUGCUGCCGCAUUUUCCCUUCCUAACACUGUCUAAGGCAGUGCAGUCAUGUGAGUUGUAGCUGGAAGCAACCUGCCUUACCAGUCCCCCAGGAAUGGCUUCCUUCAAAAUCCGGUAUUGCUGACUCAUGCUGGGCUUGCAAUCACUGGGCCGAUGAGUAGGCAAGAAAGCACUUUGUCACUCUCUGGAGGAGAAGAACUGAGAGCUGCCCUUGGAAAGGAGCCUGCACAGCAACCUGGGUCACUGAACAUGCCACAUGCCGAAGGAAUUACCACUGUUCAGUGGGAGUCUUUAAUAAGCUGGAUUCUGAGGGACUUUACUUCUUUUGUAUACCUCCCACCCAGCUGGAUACCCAUGUGUUGGGUGCACUGCAAAGAAGAGGAGGGAUAAUGACAGUGGCCAGUGUUUCUCCCACAGAGUACUGAGAGCUUGUCAUGUGCCUGGCCCUUGCAAGGCAAGGGUGUUACAAAGAUGAGCAAUAUGGAUAAAGUCCCUGCUGCCUGGAGCUUUCCUGAGUGAAACAAACAUUAGACAAAAUAAUCACAAAGUAUAUGAUCAAAUUGUGGUACAUGCUACGAAAGAAAAAUUUAUUCAAUGUAAGAAAAUAAUGUCAAAGAAAUAAAGCAUCAUGACACCCUUGAAACUAAUGGGAGUCCAGAGUGCUUACAGAACAGGAUGGGGAUGGAAGAGAGGAGACAGAUGCGAAAGGACAGCUGGGUAGCAGGGGUACUGCCAAAAGGUGCCAAUGUUCACAGAGGGAGCGGCCAAUGUCAGGUCCUGGUUCCCCCAGCCCCUGCCACCCCGUGCUAAGAAAAACUCAAAGGUCAUACAACCACAGGAACAAGUGCCAGCAAAGGAACCCUUUAUUGCUCAGCAAGACUUAGUCAAAGAAUCAUUUUAUCCAGGAUAAUUCAGCCCUAUUGAUCCAGAAUCAAAACAGUUAAAAAGCCUUUCUGUGUAUGUUUACCCUAAAGGAUAAAUUUUAAUUUCACAGGUUUCACCAAUUCAAUACAAGGAGAACCAGUGUAACAAAGAGAACACUCAUCUACUUGGAGGUGGGCAAACUCCCAAGGAGGGAAGAGUUCUGUGUCUUUAAAAAUUUGUCUCCGCAUUUUAUCAUCAUAUACUUCCACCAACAGAAUUCCUCUGCAAGCAGUAGAGAGAGGAGAUACAGUGCAUAGUUGGGGCAAAGAGACACCACUUUUCAGAUUUAGCAUCACUUUUGGAUAAUUUGCUCGUUGUUUCUGAGAAAUUUUCUUAAAAUACAUAUAAAAUUCAUUGACCAUGAAUUGUGAUAAGAUCAGUACCCGGAUAGGAAAACUGUUCUCAUGACUAGCAACUAAUACUAAGAGGGAAGAAAACAAUCAUGUAGACAUGAAACUGUCUCCCGUGUAGAAGAGUUCACAACAUUAUCCUUCUGUAUGUUUUGAUAACUCUGUUGAGUCUGUACUGCAUUAUGAAAGCAUUUUCUAUCUUGUACACAUAUAAGAGGACUUCAGGUAAAAUCCUAAAAAUUUUGUCAUCCAAACUGUGUGAUGGCAGCUUAAAAUCACAUUAAAUGGCCUGCUGGCCUCGUGAUUAAGCACAGGUGUUUGGCUGUGGUUUAUUCAUCUGCAGUCAUAUUUUCCCAGGGUGAUUUGUGGGGGAAGGGAAGGAGAUUUUCUAGUCAUACUUUCUCCUCAUCUACUUUAAUCUCCAUUACCUUAGUGGAAUUAGUGAUUUGAUGUUCAAUGUUUAAAAUCCAAUUGUUAGCAAUUUAAAAUAAUAUAUCCAUUAAUUAAAGAUACUUCAAAAUAUGCCAGUGAUUUGUUUCUUUAAACAAUAACUGAAGAUAGUAUCUAUACAAUCCUAGAAAACUUAAAUUGGAAAUUAUCGCCUAAUGGAAAUUUUUCACCUUGAUCUUCUAUGGGGAGAGUGCGGACUUUAUCAGAAUGUCUGAGGGAAGGAACUGGGAUCCAGUUCUCUCCUCCCUGUUAGUACUUCCAUUUCCCCGGGAUUGGUGUGAUUUAAAAGCAGAAAAGGAAGGAGAGACUGUCCUUGCAAGUCUUCAAGGAUAACAAAAGUCCUAUCCUUAUUCAGUCUAAGAGGAGUUUGAGGCCCUAGGAGCCAUAAAACUAAUAAAUCCUGAAAUGUGCACUUACUGCUCUUCUUUGUUCUUCCUCAGGUUGAAUACUGUACAUGAGCUCGCCUUCCAGGACACUCAGAAUUGGCACAUUUGCUAAAAAUAUGGCUCCCUUUCACAUACAAGGAGAUAUAAAAUAGUGUAAACUUAUAUCCUAUUAUUUGACUAGGUAUUCCAUUUCAUUGGUUUAUGUUUCAUUACACCAGGGGUUAGCAUCUAUAAAAACAGAGUUUGGGAUUAUCAGUUGGGUUUGGUUCAUACUGAGAUCAUUUUCAACAGCAUCCUAGGAGUUCCCCUACAAAACUAGUGUUGCAUAUGUAGCUUCAAAGUUAGUCAAGACCAAAAGUUAUACUCAAAGUUACAACAGUACGGAACAACUAUUUUGGGUUAAAUUGCCUAAAAUUCAACACCACUUCCUUUUUCCUCCUUCUUAUAAUAACCUUCUGGGGCUAGCCCUAAGUUGACUGCAACUCUUGUCCUCUGAGGUGGCCACACCAUGUCCAUAUAUACAGAGAAUGGCAUAGCAAAGUGACAAUCUCUAAAGAUCCCCAAGUGUCCUAAGGCAUUGAAAAUAUGAGAAUCAUGUUUCCAUGUAAUUCCAUAUAAAUUACUGUUGCAAGGGGACUUGUGUUUUGUUUUAUUUUUGGCUUUUUUUUUUUUUAAGGCCAUAU